CACGUAGGGUGCGAGCGUUGUCCGGAAUUAUUGGGCGUAAAGAGCUCGUAGGCGGUGUGUCGCGUCGGCCGUGAAAACCUGCAGCUUAACUGUGGGCUUGCGGUCGAUACGGGCAUCACUGGAGUUCGGCAGGGGAGACUGGAAUUCCUGGUGUAGCGGUGAAAUGCGCAGAUAUCAGGAGGAACACCGGUGGCGAAGGCGGGUCUCUGGACAGUUCCUGACGCUGAGGCACGAAGGCCAGGGGAGCAAACAGG
rnacentral:rRNA from 1 species